rnacentral:rRNA from 1 species
UACGAAGGGUGCAAGCGUUACUCGGAAUUACUGGGCGUAAAGCGUGCGCAGGCGGUUUUGUAAGUCUGUCGUGAAAUCCCCGGGCUCAACCUGGGAAUGGCGAUGGAGACUGCAAGGCUAGAGUUUGGCAGAGGGGGGUAGAAUUCCACGUGUAGCAGUGAAAUGCGUAGAGAUGUGGAGGAACACCGAUGGCGAAGGCAGCCCCCUGGGUCAAAACUGACGCUCAUGCACGAAAGCGUGGGGAGCAAACAGG